rnacentral:lncRNA from 1 species
CUGUUUCCAUGUAAUUACUUUGAAAUUAUCUUCCAGAUCUUUUCCAGAAAUCUCAGCUGUUCAGUCUUUUAUAAAGUCAUAUUCUCUGCAGCCCCUGGUCAUCUGUUGACAUACUUGGCCACAACUUUUCCACAGUUAGCCAGUACAGAUCUUUUUUCAUUUUAGUUUUCUUCAGUGGCCCCUGUAUAACUCAUCUACUUGGAAAUGAAGAUCUAUAGUUGUGAUGUAUAUGCUCAGAAAAAUUAAUGCAGAACAAAAUUCUCCUACUGGAAUAUGUUUACUUCAGAAAUUUUGAGUUCCAUUGUGACAGAGGAUUGCUUAUUCCCUAAUACAAGCAUCAUCCCCUGCAGAGAGCUUUCCCUUUUGAACUUGUGUGAAUUGACUGAAGCUUUGUUCCAAGUCUCUCUGGAGUACUGACAUUCAGGUUGCUGACAGAAGAACCCUGAAGAUAGCUCAAGGGGAUUUCUGUAUCCUUUCAGCUGCCACUAUGAUCAGGUUUUUAAAGUUUUCCUUGAAGAUGAGUUCUAAUUGAGAGCUAAACAAUUCUGAAAGCUUUUCUGUGGAAGACAGAGUUAAAGCAAACAACUGAAAAAAAAGAAACAAAGAAUGAAAGAAACUCUUAAGAACUAGUAACCCAUCUGGAGGACAAAAGGUAUAAUAACUACAAUCAAACAAUCAAGUUUACACUGGAAAAAUAACAUGGAGUUUUAUUGAAAAAUACUGUAAGUUAUUUCAUGCAGAUGGUCUUCCUGGUUUUUACACAGAAGGAAGAUGAGACAAAUAUGCCGUUGGAAAAGGCUGAAGGAAAGAGAUGCCAAGUGUCAGUAAAGAAAGAGCUUUGGUGUAAGUAAUAGAUGAGGAGGUUCUCACCUCUCUCUCUCAACUCAGCAACUGAGUUGCUAAGGAAGUUUGAAACCAUUCAGAAACACAAAAAACAUGUACAGAAAAUUAACAAUACAAAGUGGUUUUCAUAAGGAACUAGAACUGGAUCUAUGAUCACUAUAAAACUUAAUUUUCCUGAGUCUGGAUCUGAACCAAAAAUUCUUAGAUUUCUGCAUGCCUGCGCUUGUUAGCAAAUUACUGAGAAGUCCAGUGAAUAUCUU